GAGGAAAUUAGUUCCUUUGUGGUUUAGGUCUUUCCUGGAAUUCAUAGACACAAUACAAAACUACCCUGAAUCUAAGAUAUUAAACUGGGCAGGAAGAAUCUUGCUCAUACUAAGCAUAGUCUUAAAGUUCUAUAUUUUCAAUUUCUACCUGUGACAAAAAAGCUUAGGAGGGAAGAGCAAGGCCAGCCCAACUUUUUUAAGUCCCUAUGACCUGAAAGAUGGAGGCAGGUGGUGUAUGUGCGGGUAGCGGGGGGCAAUGGAAGGACAUGAUGUGGUGCUCAAUGUAAUUGAAUGAGAAUCCAGAAACAAAGAGGAGGAUCUAAGUAAAUGUCAUUAGCAAGCAUGUGAGAGGACAUUACAGGAAAAUCUUGAGGUAUGUUGCUGCCAGUUGUGUGCUUUCCUUGCCCUCUGUGGGGCACAGGUAAGUCAGACCCAUUUAAAGGGACAGCACGGGAUGCAUUUCCUUUGAUUCCCUCUGUUCAUUUGGCUUUACAUGGUCUGUAAUAUUCUGUUUCCAAGGUGAAAGGCAGAAUUCCAUGAUUGUUCUCUCAGCCACUCCCAUACUAGUGAACCAAGCACUGGGUAAGCUUUGAUGUCCUUGGAAACCUACUACGUCUUCUCAACCUUGGUUCACUGGGGCUUGGCACUGGAGUAUGAAGCAGAGGAUAGGAUCUUCACGGCCAGGAGAGAAGAGAGAAAUUUUGGUGGAAGAGGGGUGCUGGAAGGAGGCAGACUACUUUUGCUAUUCGGAAGUGUUCCUAGCAGAGGUCUUCUGGUCUUUGGCAUUGGAGGAUGUAUUAGCAAUGGAAGGGGAGUCAGAUGGAAGCAACCAGCUUGAGUUUCUCUAUGCCUGUUGACAUGUUCUUUGGCAUGCAGGACUUCUUGAACUUAAAAAAUUUGGAGACUGAGGCUGGUGACAUUGGUUCAGAGCCUUGACGAUUACCAGGGCCAGCAUUUCUGCGAUCCUCCUUACCUUUUCCUCAUGCCUCUUCACUUGUGAUCACAUUAUGGCUACUGCUGCUCUGGACCUCGGUCACAUCUGUGAUCAAGGGUGGAGGAAGGUCAAAGGGAAAAGGAUGUGUCAGCGGAUUUCUUCUUACAUCUCAUUGGACAACGUGGAGGAGGUCAUCGAGAGGAGGUGACCACUGGUUGAUCUGUGAGCUAGACCCAGGCAAUCAGAGGCUCCUCACCCCCUCCUCUGUCCUUGCAAUGUACGUCCACCUACCGUUCCCACAGUGGGAGCUGUUUUCAAGGACACAGCCUUGAGAGAGUAAUGUAUUAUUGAGACCAUCUGGAAGGUAUACAUGACUGAAGCCAGUUAAGGCCUCUAGAUAAACUUUUAAGAUUCUGGCAGCAGGUGUGGAGAUCUACUCAUCUUGAAGCCACUCAAGAUAAGCCUUGUAUAUAUGUUCCCUUGCUUAUUAAUUACUAAACCUGCCACCUACCAAUCUGGAGUGGCCUGC
rnacentral:lncRNA from 1 species